rnacentral:rRNA from 1 species
GAUGAACGCUGGCGGCGUGCCUAAUACAUGCAAGUCGAGCGAACGGACGAGAAGCUUGCUUCUCUGAUGUUAGCGGCGGACGGGUGAGUAACACGUGGAUAACCUACCUAUAAGACUGGGAUAACUUCGGGAAACCGUAGCUAAUACCGGAUAAUAUUUUGAACCGCAUGGUUCAACAGUGAAAGACGGUCUUGCUGUCACUUAUAGAUGGAUCCGCGCUGCAUUAGCUAGUUGGUAAGGUAACGGCUUACCAAGGCAACGAUGCAUAGCCGACCUGAGAGGGUGAUCGGCCACACUGGAACUGAGACACGGUCCAGACUCCUACGGGAGGCAGCAGUAGGGAAUCUUCCGCAAAGGGCGAAAGCCUGACGGAGCAACGCCGCGUGAGUGAUGAAGGUCUUCGGAUCGUAAAGCUCUGUUAUUAGGGAAGAACAUAUGUGUAAGUAACUGUGCACAUCUUGACGUUACCUAAUCAGAAAGCCACGGCUAACUACGUG